rnacentral:rRNA from 1 species
AGAGUUUGAUCAUGGCUCAGAUUGAACGCUGGCGGCAGGCCUAACACAUGCAAGUCGAGCGAACCUAGCUUGCUAGGUGAGCGGCGAACGGGUGAGUAACGCGUAGGAAUCUGCCUGGUAGUGGGGGACAACGUUCCGAAAGGAACGCUAAUACCGCAUACGCCCUACGGGGGAAAGUGGGGGGAUCUUCGGACCUCACGCUAUCAGAGGAGCCUGCGUCGGAUUAGCUAGUUGGUGGGGUAAAGGCUCACCAAGGCGACGAUCCGUAGCUGGUCUGAGAGGAUGAUCAGCCACACCGGAACUGAGACACGGUCCGGACUCCUACGGGAGGCAGCAGUGGGGAAUAUUGGACAAUGGGGGCAACCCUGAUCCAGCCAUGCCGCGUGUGUGAAGAAGGCCUUCGGGUUGUAAAGCACUUUAAGCGGGAAGGAAAGUUUCAAAGUUAAUACCUUUGAGAAUUGACGUUACCCGCAGAAUAAGCACCGGCUAACUUCGUG